rnacentral:snoRNA from 1 species
AUCCCAGAUAAAUUUUACUUGUAUUUAUCUGAUUCAUGGGAGGCAGAUAUCAACAAUGGAAGUUUCGCUGAUGGCACCUUUUUUUUUUUUAUUUCCUGGAAGGUGUUCUAAUAGUAGCUCUCCAUAAAUAA